rnacentral:rRNA from 1 species
CUGUAAGCCGUUGAAGGUGUGCUGUGAGGCAUGCUGGAGGUAUCAGAAGUGCGAAUGCUGACAUAAGUAACGAUAAAGCGGGUGAAAAGCCCGCUCGCCGGAAGACCAAGGGUUCCUGUCCAACGUUAAUCGGGGCAGGGUGAGUCGACCCCUAAGGCGAGGCCGAAAGGCGUAGUCGAUGGGAAACAGGUUAAUAUUCCUGUACUUGGUGUUACUGCGAAGGGGGGACGGAGAAGGCUAUGUCAGCCGGGCGACGGUUG